rnacentral:rRNA from 1 species
CGUUAGCGGCGGACGGGUGAGUAGCACGUGGGUAACCUACCUAUAAGACUGGGAUAACUUCGGGAAACCGGAGCUAAUACCGGAUAAUAUUUCGAACCGCAUGGUUCGAUAGUGAAAGAUGGUUUUGCUAUCACUUAUAGAUGGACCCGCGCCGUAUUAGCUAGUUGGUAAGGUAACGGCUUACCAAGGCGACGAUACGUAGCCGACCUGAGAGGGUGAUCGGCCACACUGGAACUGAGACACGGUCCAGACUCCUACGGGAGGCAGCAGCC